UAAUUUCAGUGAUAAGAAAUUCUUAUAACUUAAGAUUGUGCCGCUAGAAAAGAAAAAGAAACAGACAUGGCUAAUGUCAUCGGCGGAAAGAGAAAAUCCGACCAGAUCUAGUGGAUUCACUGCUGGCUCUGGUCAAAUAUAAUGCCAGAAAAAGGAAAUGGAUAUGGCGGUGUUGGGGAUUCUGGUGAGAUGGGGUGGGGCGAUGGCGACGCAGAUGGAGGGAUGUUGGUGGUGCGGGGAACUGGUUGGAGAUGGUGUUGUCUCACCAGCGGCUUCAAAGACUGGGGUUGUUGUCGUCAUUGGCUGUUGAUGGUGAAGAGGAGAAUGGAGGGAGAGCAGCGGAGGCACGGGCUUCUCCAGUGGCUGGUGAGGAUGGCGCUUGAGGCGACCGACUGGCUUUAAAAAAAAGAAAAAAAUGGGAGGAAUGGAGAUGGCUUGCUACUGUCGUUGGUUCGCCGGAGGUUGCUGACGGGAAAGGGAAGGGAAAGGUGAUGGCGGCACAAUAGCUGCCAAUGGUUGAAGAAUUUUUCGGCGACGAAAAGAUCGCCAGUACAGUGAUGUGAUGCAUUUUUUAACUGGUCAUGUGUGAAUUAUAUUCUGUGUGCGCGCCCAGUGCUAUGUCUUUGAAAAUGUAUUUGAAUUAGC
rnacentral:lncRNA from 1 species